rnacentral:rRNA from 1 species
GACGAAGGGCGCGGGCGUUAUUCGUUUUGAUUGGGUGUAAAGGGUACGUAGGCUGCCGACGAAAUUUCUAACCUAAAACGCGGAGUGUUCCUACGCGAUGGUUUUUUAACGACUCGGCUUGUGAUGAAGAGAGGUUGAAGUAAUUUCAUAUGUAGGGGUAGAAUCCUACGAGAUAUGAACGAACACCAGCUUGCAGAGGCGUUUUUCUAGCUUCAUCAGACGCUAAGGUACGGAAGCCUAGGGAGCAAACAGG